AGUACACUUGUCUUUGUUGAACUGAUGGACAAAGACUUAAAGACAGGUGCAAAAGUAAAUCCUCUUGCAACCCUGAGUUCAUUGUUAUUAAGUUUUGAUACAUAUAAGAAGGAAUAUG
rnacentral:snoRNA from 1 species